rnacentral:lncRNA from 1 species
CUGCAAUAUUUAAACUGGAAGCACAACCAUUCACCUGCACCACAAACCUCUUUGCAGAGGGAAAACUGACAGGGAUUUCUUUUGCUUUUCCAAGGAUUUUUCUGUCCCAGAGGGAACAGCUCGGUGCCGUGUCCACCGGGAACGUUCCGCUCGGAUGGGGCAGCGCUGGCCUCCCACAGCUGCCUGCCCUGCCCUGUGGAUUUCUUCAACCCCAGGCCUGGCCAAAAAGCCUGUUUUCCCUGUGGCUCUGAAGCAGAGCAGCCUGCAGAAGGACAGAGCACCUGUGUGUGCCUCGGGAAAGGCCAGGUGUUCCAGCCUCGUGAUGCCCUCUGCACCUGCCCCCCUGGAUUUAGGAGGUCUGGGAUGGAUGGAAAACUCUGCAGCAGACAAAGGUACCCCGUGUGCCGGGAGCCAGCCUCCCGAAACCAGGAGGGACAGUGCCUGACCAAGACAGGAUGGGCUCGCUACUGCUCCCAGAAGGUCUGUGCUGUGCCCAGGGAUUUCCAAGGCUAUGACAAAUUUCUUGGGCUCUGCAUUUGUCACUCUGGCAGCCUGGAGAGGGUGUGCGACUCUCAGUGCAGGAGGCAACAAAAAACCACCCUGCAGCUCUCCUGUGCGGGGAAAACAGCUCAGCUCCUCAUCACCCACACCAAUGGCAGCAAGACCACUGUUCUCUUGGAAGGUUUAAGGAAAGUUCUACCAAGACCAAAUUUCUCUUUGGAAGAUGUCUGUGCUGCAGGACAACAAACCCAUCCUGCACACCUGGUGGAGAUGAGCGGGAAAGGAUUUUUAGGGGUUUAUAAUCCUGACCCUCAACAAUUUCAUGACCUCGUGGUGCUGGAUGAAGUUUCUCCGCUUCACCGAACGAAUUCUCCUUCAGCAGCAGCUGCAGAUCACCCUGGCCCCGAGGAGUGCAGGGAUCCCCUGAGCCCCCCAAAUUCCACAUCCCAACCCAAAUUCUUUGGCAUCCUCAACCCCACCACCUGCAUCAGUGGCAACGUGACCCUGCUGUUCCUCGUCUCCAGGGAGCAUUUCCCAGUUUAUGAUGUAAACAACCUGUACAACACAAACGCUGAAUUUGACUGGGGAGAUUUCCGGAGCCUCAGGGAGGAAAUCAGGGAGAUUUCCAGAAAUUCCCAGAAAUUCCUCCUGUUCCUUUUCCAGUUCCAGGCCCCCGGCACUUAUGUGCUCCGGCUGAGCAGCAACAAGCACAAGAAAAUGGUUUGUACAUAA